rnacentral:rRNA from 1 species
UGGGGGAUAUUGCACAAUGGGCGAAAGCCUGAUGCAGCGACGCCGCGUGGGGGAUGAAGGCCUUCGGGUUGUAUAUUUCUUUUGCUCUGAACAAGGCGCACCAUGGGGUGUGUUGAGUGUAGGGGUUGAUUAGCGCCGGCUAACUACGUGCCAGCAGCCGCGGUAAUACGUAGGGCGCGAGCGUUGUCCGGAAUUAUUGGGCGUAAAGGGCGUGUAGGUGGCUGGUUGCGUCUGUCGUGAAAGCUCAUGGCUUAACUGUGGGUUUGCGGUGGGUACGGGCUGGCUUGAGUGCAGUAGGGGAGGCUGGAAUUCCUGGUGUAGCGUUGGAAUGCGCAGAUAUCAGGAGGAAUACCGGUGGCGAAGGCGGGUCUCUGGGCUGUUACUGACACUGAGGAGCGAAAGCAUGGGGAGCGAACAGG